rnacentral:tRNA from 1 species
CAGAGGGUAGUUUAUGAAAAUAUCAGUUUUGGGUAUUGAUGAAGAAGGGAAAUUCUUUUCCUCUGA